rnacentral:rRNA from 1 species
CCUACGGGAGACAGCAGUGAGGAAUAUUGGUCAAUGGACGAGAGCCUGAACCAACCAAGUAGCGUGAAGGAUGACUGCCCUAUGGGUUGUAAACUUCUUUUAUCUGGGAAUAAAACAGGGUAUGCAUACCCUCUCGUAUGUACCAUAUGAAUAAGGAUCGGCUAACUCCGUGCCAGCAGCCGCGGUAAUACGGAGGAUCCGAGCGUUAUCCGGAUUUACUGGGUGUAAAGGGAGCGUAGGUGGCUUGUUAAGUCAGAUGUGAAAGUUUGCGGCUCAACCGUAAAAUUGCAGUUGAAACUGGCAGUCUAGAGUACAGUAGAGGUGAGCGGAAUUCGUGGUGUAGCGGUGAAAUGCGUAGAUAUCACGAGGAACUCCGAUUGCGAAGGCAGCUCACUGGACUGCAACUGACACUGAUGCUCGAAAGUGUGGGUAUCAAACAGGAUUAGAUACCCUUGUAGUC